CACUGAUUUAAUAACACAAAUGCUGUAGGAGUUGCAACAAUCGUGUAGAUUUAAUCUACUUCACUCUAGAUUUGUGUCGACGCAUAUAAAAAUUUCCUCGAAACUUGUUGAUUUUUUUUUAAAUUUUCGGACUUUUGCAAGUUUGAUAUACGUCGACACGUUUGAUUAUCGAUAAAUUAAUUACCAACUAGUGCAUUAGUAUAAUCUAUUUACUCCCACCGAUGUAUACUCCGUUUCCGUGUUGGCGUUAAUCUAAAUGCACGCAACUUAUUGUAUACUUUUGUUUUACCUAUAUUAAUUAAAAAUAUUACGUGAUUCAGUUAGUCACUUCUGGAAAGAUACAACAGUCAUUUGCAUAUUAGUGACAAAAUUUGUAAAAA